ACGGGUGAGUAAUAUAUAGGAAUCUACCUAGUAGUAUGGAAUAAUUGUUGGAAACGGCAACUAAUACCGUAUACGCCCUACGGGGGAAAAAUUUAUUGCUAUUGGAUGAGCCUAUAUUAGAUUAGCUAGUUGGUGGAGUAAUAGCCUACCAAGGCAAUGAUCUAUAGCUGAUCUGAGAGGAUGAUCAGCCACACUGGAACUGAGAUACGGUCCAGACUCCUACGGGAGGCAGCAGUGGGGAAUAUUGGACAAUGGGCGAAAGCCUGAUCCAGCCAUGCCGCAUGAGUGAAGAAGGCCUUUGGGUUGUAAAGCUCUUUUAGUGAGGAAGAUAAUGACGGUACUCACAGAAGAAGUCCUGGCUAACUCCGUGCCAGCAGCCGCGGUAAUACGGAGAGGGCUAGCGUUAUUCGGAAUUAUUGGGCGUAAAGGGCGCGUAGGCUGGUUAAUAAGUUAAAAGUGAAAUCCCGAGGCUUAACCUUGGAAUUGCUUUUAAGACUAUUAAUCUAGAGAUUGAAAGAGGAUAGAGGAAUUCCUGAUGUAGAGGUAAAAUUCGUAAAUAUUAGGAGGAACACCAGUGGCGAAGGCGUCUAUCUGGUUCAAAUCUGACGCUGAAGCGCGAAGGCGUGGGGAGCAAACAGGAUUAGAUACCCUGGUAGUCCACGCUGUAAACGAUGAAUGUUAAAUAUGGGAAGUUUACUUUCUGUAUUACAGCUAACGCGUUAAACAUUCCGCCUGGGGACUACGGUCGCAAGAUUAAAACUCAAAGGAAUUGACGGGGACCCGCACAAGCGGUGGAGCAUGUGGUUUAAUUCGAUGCAACGCG
rnacentral:rRNA from 1 species